UACAGAGGGUGCAAGCGUUGUUCGGAAUCAUUGGGCGUAAAGAGCGCGCAGGCGGUCGAUUUAGUCGCGUGUGAAAGCCCCCCGGCUCAACUGGGGAGGGUCACGCGAUACUGAUCGACUCGAAGGCAGGAGAGGGUAGUGGAAUUCCCGGUGUAGUGGUGAAAUGCGUAGAUAUCGGGAGGAACACCAGUGGCGAAGACGACUACCUGGCCUGUUCUCGACGCUGAGGCGCGAAAGCUAGGGGAGCAAACGGG
rnacentral:rRNA from 1 species